CCUUCGAUAGCACAGUUGGUAGUCGGGGGACUGUAAUUGUUGACAGCAAUCAUCCCUAGGUCACUGGUUCGAAUCCUGUUCGAAAGA